UCAACCUUUACAAAAUCAUUUGCAAUGGCCCUUGGUUUUUGGAGCUAUGUCCGUGUGAUGGACAAGGCGCGUUUUUAAUCAGCGAUAAGGAAGAUAAGGCGGCGCUGAAGAAUCGCGGCAACGUCGCCUCUGGCUCGGCCCUGGCGGUCAGGUGGCAGUGGAGGGGCAGCUGGCUCGCCAGGUACAAAACAGCACACUCGAGCCGCAGCAGCACAGCAGACAACACAUCGAGUAAACAAACAGAAUGGAGUCGUGGAUGAACGAAGUGAAAGUGGUGCGGAUCCCGCGGCCAAAGUUUGCGUCGGCAACGAGCGGAGGAGGUGGCGGCGCUGGGGUUCGGCGCCAUCUACGGCGCUGUCCAGCUGAACCGCCGACCGACUACGGCGUUGACAGCGUGUCCAACGACCUGGACAGGGCCACCGAGGAGCUGCGACGUGCCGUCCAGGACAAGUUGUGAAAACGGACGCUCUUUUUACUUGUCCGCAGUGCAGUUUGUGAUUCUGUAAAUACGCUUUUCUCCUCAUCAGAUAGACAAUCUUCGACGCGUAAACGUCCUACACGGGUGUCUUCUCUCCCUGUUUUAUUAUUUAAUUGCGGCGGCAGGCGAACUCGUUUCCAGCCGCCGUUUCCUCUUUUUACGACUGUAAAUAAACUUAACAUUUAUUUUUCAAACUAAAAA